UAUUUUUGUGUAAAAUUACCGAAAAUUCAUGUAGUUGACUUUGACAGUUCUAAUCGUUGAACAGAUGAAGAAAUGUCAUUUGGAAUUUCCACUUGGAGCCAUUUGGAUGUCAUAACAUUUUUGCUGCUAAAGGCAAAUCCGCUUCGUGGCCAACUCUCCUUCCGUGGCCAAGUUGCUGAUGAUCGAGAACGACCCGGGAGUGGACAAGGCGAACUUCUUCUUCCUGGCCAACCAUCCAUCCAUUUUCUUCGUGGCCAAGAUUCGGAUGAUCACAAACGACCCGGGAGUGGACGAGGUGCGCAAUUUCAUCGUGGCCAACCAUCCCGCCGUGGCCAAGUUGCUGAUGAUCGAGAACGACCCGGGUGUGGAAGAGGUGCGCAUCCUCUUCGUGGCCAACCUUCCAUCCGUGGCCGAGAUGCUGAUGAACGAAAACGUCCCGGGAGUGAACAAAGUGCGCAUCCUCGUCGUGGUCAACCUUCCGAGAACGACCCGAGAGUGGAAGAGGUGAACAUCUUCUUCCUGGCCAACCUUCCUUCCGUGACCGAGAUGCUGAUGAACGAAAACGACCCGGGAGUGGACGAGGUGUGCAAUUUCAUCGUGGCCAACCUUCCCGCCGUGACCAAGUUGCUGAUGAUCGGGAACGUCUCGGAAGAUAACGAAGUGCGCAUCCGGGACCUUUUCGAUUAUCAACAGUUGGCCACAGAAGGAAGGAUGAUCACGACGAGGAUGCGCACCUCGUCCGCUCCCGAAUCGUUCUUCUCGAUAACCAGGAAAUAAAGGAAAAUAACCAGGAUCUCGGCCACGAAAGGAAGGUUGGCGACGGAGAGGAUGUGCACCUUGUUCACAACCGGGCCAUUCUUGAUCAUCCCAAUCGAACAUCGAAACAGCAAUCUGGUUAGAUUUUCACCAAUCAACGCCGGGAGUUCGAUUAGCUGCGAUAUUCAGGACUUUUUAUUCCUCGGCCACGAAACAUUCGAUCGAGAGGAAGAUUGGCCGCAAAGAGGAACCACACCCGGUCCUUUUCGAUCAUCAGCACCACGACCACGGAUGGAAGGUUGGCCAGGAAGAAGAUGUUCGCCUCGUCCACACUAGGGCUGUUCGCGAUCAUAUCGUUCACAACCGAGCAUCCACCGGAUGCUGCUCCAAGAAUUUGGGACGUCGCUUGAUUCCGUGGUGGCGCGGAAUAUACUGCGCUGCGUCGAAAAUCUGGCCUGUUUACAUGGUAGAACAACUUUAUUACUAAUAAAUCACAAAUUUUCUGCGCAAUAAAUGAAAUUGAAAAAAAAAAUCGGUUUGUUUAUGUUUAAAUUGUCAUUUCUAAUCAAAAAUAACCAACUCGAUAUCUAUCCCUGGGGUCAAAAUGGGG